rnacentral:rRNA from 1 species
GCUACCAUGCAGUCGACGGAACGAUACUAGCUUGCUAGUAGGCGUCGAGUGGCGGACGGGUGAGUAACGCGUAGGAAUCUGCCUGAUAGUGGGGGAUAGCCCGAAGAAAUUCGGAUUAAUACCGCAUAAUCUAUUCGUAGUAAAGUGGGGGACUUUCGAGCCUCACGCUAUCAGAUGAGCCUGCGUAAGAUUAGCUUGUUGGUAGGGUAAAAGCCUACCAAGGCGACGAUCUUUAGCUGGUCUGAGAGGAUGAUCAGCCACAUCGGGACUGAGACACGGCCCGAACUCCUACGGGAGGCAGCAGUGGGGAAUAUUGGACAAUGGGGGCAACCCUGAUCCAGCAAUACCGCGUGUGUGAAGAAGGCCUGAGGGUUGUAAAGCACUUUCAAUUGUGAAGAAAAGUUAGCGGUUAAUAACCGUUAGCCUUGACGUUAACUUUAGAAGAAGCACCGGCUAACUCCGUGCCAGCCGCCGGGGGUAAAUAA